rnacentral:rRNA from 1 species
GAUGAACGCUAGCGGCAGGCUUAAUACAUGCAAGUCGAGGGGCAGCGGGAGUAGCAAUACUUGCCGGCGACCGGCGCACGGGUGCGUAACACGUAUGUAAUCUGCCCAUCACAGGAGGAUAGCCCGGAGAAAUUCGGAUUAAUACUCCAUAAUAGAAGAUAAAGCAUUUUAUUUUCUUGAAAGUUCCGACGGUGAUGGAUGAACAUGCGACUGAUUAGUUUGUUGGUGAGGUAACGGCCCACCAAGGCGACGAUCGGUAGGGGGUGUGAGAGCAUGACCCCCCACAUGGGUACUGAGACACGGACCCAACUCCUACGGGAGGCAGCAGUAAGGAAUAUUGGACAAUGGUCGGAAGACUGAUCCAGCCAUGCCGCGUGAAGGACGAAGGCGCUCAGCGUUGUAAACUUCUUUUGGAUGGGGAUAAUAAUCUCGAUUUAUCGGGACUUGAAGGUACCAUCAGAAUAAGCACCGGCUAACUCCGUGCCAGCAGCCG